rnacentral:rRNA from 1 species
UAGUCUGGGAAACUGCCCGAUGGAGGGGGAUAACUACUGGAAACGGUAGCUAAUACCGCAUAACGUCGCAAGACCAAAGAGGGGGACCUUCGGGCCUCUUGCCAUCGGAUGUGCCCAGAUGGGAUUAGCUAGUAGGUGGGGUAACGGCUCACCUAGGCGACGAUCCCUAGCUGGUCUGAGAGGAUGACCAGCCACACUGGAACUGAGACACGGUCCAG